AGCUCCAAUAGCGUAUAUUAAAGUUGUUGCAGUUAAAAAGCUCGUAGUUGGAUUUCGGGGCGGCCUGGCUGGUCCGUCGCGAGGCGAGUACUGGUCAGCCGCCCUUCCUCUCGAAAGCCCCGACUGCUCUUCACUGCAGUGGUCGGGUAGUUCGGGACGUUUACUUUGAAAAAAUUAGAGUGUUCAAGGCAGGCAUUCGCCUGAAUACAUUAGCAUGGAAUAAUGGAAGAGGACCUCGGUCCUAUUUUGUUGGUUUCUGGGACCGAAGUAAUGAUUAAGAGGGACAGUUGGGGGCAUUCGUAUUUAAUUGUCAGAGGUGAAAUUCUCGGAUUUAUGAAAGACGAACAACUGCGAAAGCAUUUGCCAAGGAUGUUUUCAUUAAUCAAGAACGAAAGUACGC
rnacentral:rRNA from 1 species